ensembl:lncRNA
CUUAUUUUCUCCUUCUGCUUAAGCAGGGCUGAAAGCUGUUUUGGGGUCUCCAUUUCCUACAGGGAUGGUAUGACCAGCAGGGAGGCUCCCCCUGAAACACUGCUACCCACCCUUGCAGUGUCACACCCAACAGGCUGUGGGACACCUGGAUUAGUCAUGGGAGAAGGAAGGGGCUGAUGUAAACUCCGCAGCUUGGACACUCAGGUUGAGCUCUUGGCCCAUGGGCCACCACUACCCUGCAGCUCUUGCUAGGCAAGCAGUUCCCAAGCCAUUGGCAUGGAGAACCAAAGCAGUUUCUGAGCAGAAGAGAGCUGCUGCGUGCACAUAUCCAAGGCUCUGAGCAUCUCCCUCGAUAAAGGUGAAAUUCCACUCCCAGCUCAACUGGCUCUCAUCCAGACGAGCUGCAUUAGCAGAGCUUUGCCAGGCCAGGAUCAGACCCAAAUUCGAGCCCUGCCAUUGCAAAAGUGCCUCAACCACCCAAAAUGCUGCUGCGUGGCCACGCUUGGUGCCAGCCAGCGAUGGAGGAUGGAUGCUGCUUCACUGCAAGCACCACAGCGCGGUCCUCUUGGGGAUGGCAGUGGCCACAUGUAUUCCUGAGUGUCUCUGUGAACUCCUUGGGCAAUGAUGGGCAUUGCAGUCUGCAUAGCCCUGCCCAAGGGGACGGAUGCCCCGUGCCUUUGUGGGAGAUCAAGGGGAGAUGGUCAUUUCCUGCCCAAGCAACAAGCGCUUCGCUUCUCACCAAUUCCUCUGCCAGGCAAUUUUCUCUCUCUGCUGAAAGCACUGGGCUCCAUCCAGCUCCAGCCUCCAUCCUCCAGCCAAGCCGAGGCUGCAGCCAGCGAUCUGCACGCCCAGCCCGGCCGGGGCUAAUGGUCUAAUGAAGGUCCCCGAAAUACUCAGCUAUCAGUGAGGUCUGUAACUCUUGAAGUGCUAGAAGUGCUCUCAGUGGGAUGAGCUGGCACCUUGGCCACUAAGAAAUGCAGUUGCACCAGCAAAGGGUGUUUUACUUGGUGUUAAGGAGGCUGGCCUGCAGAGAAAAGGGACUUCCAGCAGCACAAGUAUAGAGCUAAUAAAGAAAAUCCACUCCACCAAGGUGGAGAGGGACUAAGGAGAGGAAAAUGAAUGAGUAAUCUAAACACAGCCACUAACAAUCCCCCCGUGCUCUUCAAUAAAGCAGAGAUUAAGAGGAGGAUUUGCAGCCACGCUGCAGCUGGGCUCAGCUCUGCCAUGGGGCUGAUCAGCUCCACCACAACCUGUGCUCCUGGAUCCCUGUCUGGGAAGUGAAGACAUCCUUGAUUCCCCAUUAAAAGCUUAAUUUGG